ACAAACCGGACUUCAAGCAAUCGGUCAUGGAAGGGUAGGACUGCAAAAGAAUUUUGUGCAAGAACCAUGAAAUCAGCUCGUGCAAAGAAACAUGAAGAUGACACAUUAUGCAACCACAGUGCCAAGAGUUGGAUUUCACGGUGUUGAGCACAUGUAUAAAAUGCAGUAUUCUCCAUGAAUUCACCUGGUUGGUACAAGAAGGGGGGCAGAGACAAUGGUUUUAGUGGUCAUCAUGAAGAGAGGGAACAAUGACAAAAGAAAUAUAAUAUUUUGAUGGAGAAAGUCAAAGUUUACACCCGCAGCAAAUGGGGGAAACAGUAAGUGACAGACAAGGGAUUUGCUCGCAAGUAUGCCAUAACGCAUUACUUCCCGUAUAUAUUAUAUACUUAAUAAAUAUCCUAGAACUUGAAAACCAUCAAAACAUUAAACUAUUCUCUUUGUUUUUUUUUCCUCAAAACAAACUGGUACAAACAUUUAGACGACAGUACAAACUACUAAGAAUAAGAAGAAGAAAAUUUGAGAA